rnacentral:rRNA from 1 species
GCUAGUUGCACGAGUUCAGACUCGUAGCAGAUAGCUCAGUAACACGUGGCCAAACUACCCUGUGGAUCUGGACAACCUCGGGAAACUGAGGCUAAUUCGGAAUACGGCUCACCACCUGGAGUGGUGUGAGCCCGAAACGCUCCGGCGCGACAGGAUGUGGCUGCGGCCGAUUAGGUAGACGGUGGGGUAACGGCCCACCGUGCCCAUAAUCGGUACGGGUUGUGAGAGCAAGAGCCCGGAGACGGUAUCUGAGACAAGAUACCGGGCCCUACGGGGCGCAGCAGGCGCGAAACCUUUACACUGCACGCAAGUGCGAUAAGGGGACUCCAAGUGCGAGGGCAUAUAGUCCUCGCUUUUUGCCACCGUAAGGUGGUGGCGGAAUAAGUGCUGGGCAAGACCGGUGCCAGCCGCCGCGGUAAUACCGGCAGCACGAGUGAUGACCGCUAUUAUUGGGCCUAAAGCGUCCGUAGCUGGCCAUGCAAGUCCGUCGGGAAAUCCGCGCGCUUAACGCACGGGCGUCCGGUGGAAACUGCAUGGCUUGGGACCGGAAGACCAGAAGGGUACGUCCGGGGUAGGAGUGAAAUCCCGUAAUCCUGGACGGACCACCGGUGGCGAAAGCGCCUCUGGAAGACGGAUCCGACGGUGAGGGACGAAAGCUCGGGUCACGAACCGGAUUAGAUACCCGGGUAGUCCGAGCUGUAAACGAUGCUUGCUAGGUGUGGCACAGGCUACGAGCCUGUGCUGUGCCGC